rnacentral:Y_RNA from 1 species
UGCUGAUCCAGUGGUAGUGGGUUAACAGAAUUUAUUAACAUUGGUGUCACUAAAGUUCGUUUACAACCCCCCAGUGCUAAAUUGACUGGCUGGG